ACAGCAGCAGCCACGGUAAUACGAAGGGUGCAAGCGUUAAUCGGGAUUACUGGGCGUAAAGCGUGCGUAGGCGGUUUGUUAAGUCUGCUGUGAAAUCCCCGGGCUCAACCUGGGAAUGGCAGUGGAUACUGGCAAGCUAGAGUGUGUCAGAGGAUGGUGGAAUUCCCGGUGUAGCGGUGAAAUGCGUAGAGAUCGGGAGGAACAUCAGUGGCGAAGGCGGCCAUCUGGGACAACACUGACGCUGAGGCACGAAAGCGUGGGGAGCAAACAGGAUUAGAUACCCGCGUAGUCCCUGUCUCUUAUAC
rnacentral:rRNA from 1 species